rnacentral:lncRNA from 1 species
GCUGCAUCGUUGUGUUAGAUUCUUCAGAAUAUAAGCGCAACUACAAUUAGCAAACUCGAAUAGACUUUGAGCGAACAAGAAGGAAAGAGUAUGCUUCCUUUGAAUCUUACUUGUUGAAUGUAAUUGUCACAAAUUUGAGUUUGGUUUAUGCAUGCGAGUUCAUAACUUACUGUUAGCAUCAUGUGUCGAGUAAAUGUAACAAGAGAGAUGGCGGUACUUACAGAGCCGAGCUGAGUGGAGAACCUGAUGAGGUUGAGAUUGUAGGGAUCGCAGGCCAGGUACAAGUUCUUCACCAUGAUGGCCCCCGAAUCCUUGUCGGCCUUCGGUCUCUCCGAGCUCGUCCUCACUUCCAAGUGGGUCUCCUUCAGGGAACCUUGUACCUUCUCUCUGUAUAUCACCUGUUUGUUGCUCAUAACUUCCACUGAAGCAUUGCUGUUCUCCUUCUCCAUUCUCUCUCUCUCUCUCUCUCUCUCUCUCUCUNNNNNNNNNNNNNNNNNNNNNNNNNNNNNNNNNNNNNNNNNNNNNNNNNNNNNNNNNNNNNNNNNNNNNNNNNNNNNNNNNNNNNNNNNNNNNNNNNNNNNNNNNNNNNNNNNNNNNNNNNNNNNNNNNNNNNNNNNNNNNNNNNNNNNNNNNNNNNNNNNNNNNNNNNNNNNNNNNNNNNNNNNNNNNNNNNNNNNNNNNNNNNNNNNNNNNNNNNNNNUAAACAAUAUAUUAUUAUAUUUGCUAAUCUUAGUUAAUUCAACAAGGAAACUAGAUAAUAAAAAAAAAAAAAAACGAUAGAUGCGAUGAAAUGAAGGUUUUGUUUUCUUAUUUUAUUUAAGGAAUAAUAUAACCAUCGUUCCUUUAUUUUUGUCCGAAAAUCAAAAUCAAAAUCAUCCUUCUUUCUUUCUCUUUAAGAAAGAAAAAAAAAACGUCCCUCUACUUUUUAGAAAAUGUUGACGUGCGGUCCUUCCAUUGUAAUGUUUCCCUUACUGAUCGAUUUUUGUUGACAUGGAUUCAAAAUUAAUGAUAUAGACGCUAGUGAAUAUACGUGUCACCCUGAAAUAUAUGUCAUGUCAUGAUUUAUUGAAAAUUAUUAUAAGUAAAAAAGGCACCACAUCAAAUAAUAUUAAACAACAGAAAAACCAAAGUUGAGAGAGAGAAAGAGAUGGAGGAUCAUCGUCGUAGCCUUGAGCUCAAGCUCUAAGCUUGCAACAACCAUGGUCGCGACGGCCACAACCACUAGAGUUUCAAAUUGUGAAGCUCGAGAUCAUGGCUGCUCAAGAUAAGCUCACGGUCAUGUUGGCUCAAUUGGUGGUCGUAAAUGGUUACAAAUCAUAGCUUUUGUAUUAUUAUGGAUGUUUUGUGGGUUUUCUUCAAGUUUAUCAUUUCUAUUAUUUUAUUUUUAUUAUACUCAAAUUUAAGAAAUUUUACUUUGAGGGAUUAAAGGAAAUCCGAGAUUUCACUCCAAAUUUCCCAAAGAAAUAGGAUGAACAAUUUAUCUUGUUCCCUUUACUUGUACUAUUAACUUAUUUGUUAUUUCAAAGAACUUUUUAUAACACUUUAUGCUUCAUAUUUGAUGAAGUGGCACGUCACAUAAUGCUCAAGCAUGUAUAAAUUACUCCACCUUUCACCUGCCCUUAAAACCUACCUUAAUACUUUUUCUUUAAAAAAAGUACACCCCAAGUGUUAAAAUUUGGCAUAAAAUGACAUUUUAGUGCCAAAAAUUAAGAAAAUGCCAUUUUUUGAAAUGUGAGAUUGCCAUCUACGAUUAACCUUGCCAGCAAUCCUACAUGGCAAUUUUUUAUUAUUUUUCUUGCCUACAUGGCUCACCGGAGAGCAGACUCAAUAAAGAAACGCAAAAAUGACAUCAUUUUGACGCGGAUUUGAAUUUUAAUAUAAAAUUUAAUUUAAUGAAUCUAUAAAUAAAUUAUAUAUAUAUAUAUAUAUAUAUAUAUAUAUAUAAGGGGGUGAAAAGAAGAAGGUAGCUGAAGGUUGAGCCCUUACUGCCGCCUUCUCCCUGCCGUCACUUGGAACAGCCAACAAAAGUGGGAGUAGGGUUGGCUGGGAUCGCCGGGCCUUGGCUAGGGGUUAGCGACCCCGACUGACCCUUGCCCAAAUCUUUUGCAAGGGUCGCCACCCUUCCCCAGAUCUGGCGAGAGUCUAUAGCUCUCACAUGCAUAUACGGCGAGGGUCACCGNNNNNNNNNNNNNNNNNNNNNNNNNNNNNNNNNNNNNNNNNNNNNNNNNNNNNNNNNNNNNNNNNNNNNNNNNNNNNNNNNNNNNNNNNNNNNNNNNNNNAAAGGAUAGGAAUUUGCUAAACAUUCUCUUUAUAUUUCAAGAACCAUAAUUCUCUAGAAAUCUACAUGGAAGAAAAGGAAGUGCCAGAUACCUGGAGUGUCAAAACUUGGCACAGGGGGAUACUGAAGUGCCAAAAUUGGAGCAAAAUUGAUCACUUAGGGCGCGUUUGAUUGUGUUUCUGUUUAAAAAUUGUUCCAGGGAACAGAAAUAGAAAAAAGUAUUUCUGUUCCGGGGAACAAUUUUUGAACAAAAAUACGCGUUUGGUAAACUUGUUCCGGGAAUAAAAAAUAAACAGAAACAUGUUUGGUAAAUUUGGAUAAUUUUUUUAUUUCUUUUAUUUUUUCUAUUUUUUUCUUAUUUUUCCUUUUUUUCUUUUUUCUUUUUCAUUUUUUUUUUCUUCUUUUGGCCGGUCGCCGGCCAAGGCCUUGGCCGGCGACCGGCCAAAAGAAGAAAAAAAAAAUGAAAAAGAAAAAAGAAAAAAAGGAAAAAUAAGAAAAAAAUAGAAAAAAUAAAAGAAAUAAAAAAAUUAUCCAAAUUUACCAAACAUGUUUCUGUUUAUUUUUUAUUCCCGGAACAAGUUUACCAAACGCGUAUUUUUGUUCAAAAAUUGUUCCCCGGAACAGAAAUACUUUUUUCUAUUUCUGUUCCCUGGAACAAUUUUUAAACAGAAACACAAUCAAACGCGCCCUAAGUGAUCAAUUUUGCUCCAAUUUUGGCACUUCAGUAUCCCCCUGUGCCAAGUUUUGACACUCCAGGUAUCUGGCACUUCUUUUUCUUUCAUGUAGAUUUCUAGAGAAUUAUGGUUCUUGAAAUAUAAAGAGAAUGUUUAGCAAAUUCCUAUCCUUUCCAGCAAUUAAAAAACCAUUUGCAUUUCUGAAAAUUACGUUAGAACUUUAGCUGAAGAAUUUUACCUUUUUUUUUGUCCUUUUUAGGAAGCUUUAGCCUUCUCUCUGACUCGUGAAGUGGAAAAACCGGAUCCGACCCCCAAAAAGAAAAAAUAAAAAGUGGAAAAACCGGCAACUCAAGUUUGUGGGUUACUCGAUUUAAAUUGUGCGAUGGAAGACAACCCAUCACUUGAUUGCGGAUAACGGUGCCGUUAUGCUCACUUUCCUCAUUCCAAUUCCAUUUCUCUCUUCAAUUUGUAAUUGUUAUUGUCGUUGUCCUCGGUGAAUUUUAAUUCUUACUUUUGCUUUUCCCUUGUUGAUAUAUUAUUCUGGACACUCUUCUCGCACUUCUUAAUUAACUCUUUUUGAAUUUUUGGCAUUCCUCUCAAUUAUUAAAUUAACUCUUUCUUCAAAAUUAUCAUACAUUUUCAAUUAACGAAAAUAUAUAUAUUUUUUGCAUGAAAAAAUUCUUGUCUUUUUUUCAAUUUUUGUUUUCUUUUGUUUGGAAGAGUUUAUUUGAGUAAAUAUAAUAUUAGCUACUUCAAACUUUAAAUUUGAUUACUUACUGUCCAAUUCAUUUUCUUCAUGCAUUUUUUCUGUCUCAUUUGAAGUGCUAUACUUGCUUUUUAUAUUCUUCUUCUUUCUUUCCUUUCUUUUCUAUACUUGAUUUUAUAAACUAAAGGGACUCGGUCAAACCCCAAAUGUUACACUAAUCAAAUAAUUUAUAUUUGUGUGUUUUCACUGUGUUGAUCUUUUCCUAUGUUCUAUUUGUUAUUAUUAUAUAUUUCUUUUCUAAUUAUUAUAUUUUUUUUUUCUAAUGAGUGUUUCUCAUUCGCAUAUGAUUAUCACAAGAAAAAAAAAUCAAUUUCAUUCCUUCUCAUAAGAGUCAAACAAUAAAUAUUCAAACCGUGUUUAAGGAAAUGUUAGAUUAUAUCUCGACUUGGGAACCAUGUGAGGAAUAUCAAGAAAUAUAUUUUCUUAUUGGGUUCGGAUUCAUCGGACGAUGUAGUUUGCUCGAUUGGCUUCCGACGAAGGAGCCACAAGGUUAUUGGCUUAUUCAGUUUUGGUCAAAGAAGAUGUGUGGUUGUUUGACUCCUAUGCGCAGCCGCACGACAGUGAGAGCCACUACAGGACAAAAUAAAGGGGUCGCAUAUUCUCUAAUUAUAUAUUUAUUUCGGGGGUAAAAAGAUUUUUGUCUGAGGAAACAGCCCGUGGGCUCUCGAGCAGAACGUAGACUUUGGGGGUGUUUGGUUCAGCUUUCCCAAGGGGCUUUGAGCCUCGAAAGCCCCUUGGGAAAAAUUAGAGGGUGUUUGGUUCGGCUUUCAAAUGCUCCUUGGUGAAAUGUUUGCCUUUGGAAUGCUGAAUGCCGAAUGCUGGGGGGGACCAGCUUUGAGCAUUGGGCAUUCUGGAGAUGCGAUAUUACUGUUCAUCGCGUCACUGUUCAUCGUCUCCUCCGCCGUUCGCCUUCUUCUUCGCCAUUCAUCUUCUUCUUUGCCAAAGGCAGCGCUCAGCCGCGAUCUGGCCGUCGAGAAGCCUCGCCUGAGGUCGCACAACCUUAGGCGAGGUGGCCUGAGGUCGGGCAACCUCAGGCGGCGUCGCCUGGUCUCGCGCUAGCCAGGCGACCAGGCGAGGCCAGAUCUGGCCAUUUGACGGCCAGAUCUGGCCCCUGCGACCUCCGGCGGCCAGAUCUGGUGGUUCGGCGACGGCCAGAUCUGGCCGUCCGGCGGUGGCUGGCGGUUGGCCGACAGUAGCCGACCGUCGGAAUUUCAUUUCAGACUUUAAAGAAAAUAAAAAAUAACAAAAGCUAAUUACAAAUGUAAAGUUUGCCAAACGGUGUUUAUGCUAAGUUGCAUUUCCAUGCUAAAAUUUACCAAACGGUGUAACAUUUCCGAAAGCCCCUUUCUCUCAAAGAUAUUUGCAUUUUCCCAAUGACAUUUCCCCAAAGCCGAACCAAAUGGGCCCCGCGCGAGGGAACGCUUCGAACGAGCAUCGGACACACGUGAAUUUUGUGCUUUGUUUUAUAUUCAAAUUGGGACGUAAGACUCAUGUAUAUUCUGGGUGUGGAAAAUAUUGAAACCUGUUCACGAUUGUAAUUCUAAUUUUUCAAUGAUAGUAGAUUAUCAGCUACUACCAACUCUCCCAAUACAGUAUGUACCUAGAUUUUUGACCGAAUAUUGUAAAGUUUAUGGUGUUUUUAAUUGUUCAUUGUUUUAUUUAUCUAGUGAUUUCGAGUUAAUUUAAAUUGUAAUAUCUUGUUAGUUUCUGUAUUAAUUUUACUAUGGAAAGUUCGGUGUCUAUACAUUACCCUUGACAUUCUACUUGUAAUCUAAAAAUGAAUAAUUACUAUAAAUUUUUAAACCUAUUAUUUGGAUAUCAAUUCAGUCAUUAAUUUUUUAAUUUAAUUAAUUUAGUUUUAAAUCUUUUGAUGAAUUGACAAUUUACUUAUUCCACCUAUAAUCGCUAACAUGGACAAAAUCAAACGUAUUGAUCUUUAAAAAAUCAUUUCAUGGAAGUCCUUUCCUUAAAAACAAUGACACCCUCCAGAUUGCUUUGGUUCUUCACAUUUUCGCGCUAGUCAAAACAGUGAUCUUUCAAACCAGUUCAUUUAAAGGCCACGGCACGGUAAAGGAAGAUCCAUUUACAUCGACGUCUUAGAGAGUAAUAGAAUGAAAUUUUAUACCAAUAGAUUCAGCAGAGAACAUGUCCUCCGAAAGAAUAACAGAGCAUUCGCACCCAAAAGUGCAGUAAGCGGGAAACUACUAGCUUCUGUUUCCCCACCAUUGCUACCAGAAAACAACCCCAUGCCCCUUCUUAUACGAGACACAUUUGCACUCAAAUGUCCUUUGUGUCAUAGCGGCAAUGCAAAGAGAAACGGAAAACGACUUUCAAAACCACGAGACAAGAUAAGACUAGGUCGAUGAAAAAAAAUGUACAGAAAGCUAAAUCAUUCGCGAGAAACCACGACCACUUGUUUCCCGAUGCUGCGACCAGAGAACACCCCGACAAGAGCUGCUGGACCGUUCUCGAGCCCUUCCGCGAUGUCUUCCAUGUACACAAUCUUCCCCUCUUUAAUCUGAGGCAAUACCGUCUCGAGGAACUUCGGGUAGAGAUGAUAGUAAUCAAACAUUGCAAAACCUUCCAUCCGAACCUGCUUCCAGAUAAGGUGCAUCAAGUUGUGUACGCCUUCGUGCUGCUCGAGGUUGUAUUGUGAGAUCAUUCCGCAUACUGUGAUUCGGCCAUGAGGUUUCAUGUUGAGCAGCACGGCAUCAAGCAUCUUUCCACCGACAUUUUCAAAGUAGAUAUCGAUCCCCUCAGGUAAGCAUCUAAACAUUCAAGACAGGAAAAAGUCAACUCUAGUCGGCUUUGGAAUGGGUACACAUUGAAUAUCAUGUACAUAAGUAAUGUGCUCGAUCAUCGUUACUAUAUUCCUAGUUCACCUUUUCAGUGCUGCAUCCAGAUCCAGUUCCUCCUUGUAGUUGAAAGCAUCAUCGAAUCCAAACUUGUUCUUCAGCAAAUCAACCUUUUUCCCAAACAUAACAGCAAGCGAGCAUUUUAAGUAAAGAUAAAAUCGGGAAGAGACAAUUAAGCAAUUCCUAUAUAAGGAAAAACUAGACAAAUGUGAGAUGAUUACCUUCUCUUUGCUACCGGCGCUGCCAACAACAUAACAACCAAACAACUUUGCAAACUGGCCGACAAGCUGACCAACAGCUCCCGAUGCCGCUGAUAUGAAAACAGUAUCUCCUUUCUUAGGAGAGCAUACCUCGAAAAACCCAGCAUAAGCCGUCAGACCUGGCAUACCUGUAAAGUUUGGAUUUAUGCAAAUUAGACAAGUUUCAAGAUUCGCUGGAGCAUAGAAGUAGGAGUGUAAUGCUAUGGCAAAUCUCAAAUGACCCGAUUUAAUUGAUCGAAGGUGAUGCCCCUGUCAAAUGGAUGAGAAAUAAUCAAUUUGGACACUUCUUUCAACACAAAAGACAGCUUUGCAAGGCUCCAUCGUUGAGACAAUUCAACAAGGGCAUACGGCACUUAAACAAGGAUGAUCCCCACAAGUAAAAUUCAAACGAAGCACGCUUUUUCCUUGCAUAAAAGCUGGAGGCUGUCCGUACUUGAGAACCAAAUAGACAGAACAAAGUAUCUUAACGAUUCGAUGCUCCUCAUUAUUUAACACUGAAAGAGAUAUCGCACCAGAUGAUUAAAGAGCAUACCUAGAAGGCCGGUGUAAUAAGACAGAGGAACAUCGGUGUGUUCGAUUUUAAAGCAAGUCUUUGGCGCAGUAAUUAGACUAUACUCCUCCCAUCGAGUGAGGCCCAAAACCAAGUCGCCUUUCUUGAAGUUCGGAUGCCCAGAUUCCAAAACUCUAGCUACCCCAUAUCCAGAAACAGUCUGCAUCAUUGUCUUGGAUACUUCAGAAUAUAAGUGGAACUACAAAUAGCAAACUCGAAUAGACUUUGAGCGUACAAGAAGGAAAGAGUAUGCUUCCUUUGAAUCUACUUGUUGAAUGUAAUUGUCACAAAUUUGAGUUUGGUUUAUGGGUGCGACUUCAUAAAUUACUGUUAGCAUCAUGUGUCGAGUAAACGUGACGAGAGAGAUGGCGGUACUUACAGAGCCGAGCUGAGUCGAGAACUUGAUUAGGUGGAGAUUGUAGGGAUCGCAGGCCAGGUACAAGUUCUUCACCAUGAUGGCCCCCGAAUCCUUGUCGGCCUUCGGUCUCUCCGAGCUCGUCCUCACUUCCAGGUGGGUCUCCUUCAGGGAACCUUGUACCUUCUCUCUGUAAAUCACCUGUUUGUUCCUCAUAACUUCCGCUGAGGCGUUGCUGUUCUCCUUCUCCAUUCUCUCUCUCUCUCUCUCUCUCUCUCUCUG